UAUCGAUGUGUAGUACUCCAUUGUGUUAGUUACCAGACAAUUUAAUAUGUGUGCUGGUAAGUCUAUCAUGAGCAUGAAAACAUGAUAUGAUAUUUAACUAAGAGCUGUCAAAUAGUUAAGAAAGAACAUCUUUGGAAUUAAAGGAGCAUAUUAUCCCUUAGUAAUUUUUUUGUUGACAUUCAAUUAAUGGCAGAAGGAGACAUUUCUGUUUCUUUGGAGGACACUAUACUUUCAGGUAUAAUGCCAUAUUCUGGAAGCAAAGUAGUCAGCAGUGUCUGAGCUCCUUUACGUGCUGUGUCUGGGUUUGGAGAAGAUAGACUGGUAAUAUCAGCCAUGCACCUGCAAGUUAUUAUAAUUUCUUCUUGUAAUUAUAGUUAUCGUGGCCAUAUGUUGGUACAACUUAAAGCUUUUCCAGAUGAAGGGAUUACUCCUCAAACCUGUGGUAAUGAGGCUGAAGCAUAUAAAAGACAUCCAGAUGUCCCUUUCCCACCAUGGUGACCAACAAGGCCAGGCUUUCCUGGUUUUGCAGCUAGAAGACGGCAAGUCUCUGUCAGCCUGAGUCUCUGAGUGGUUUGCUCAGCGGAGUUCCCACCAUCAUCAACUCGCUGUCAACUUACAUUGGAUACGUAUGGAGACAGAAAGAAAGAGAAGAGAGCAGAGGGAGAGGGACCUCAUUACCACCA